GUGGGGAAUAUUGGACAAUGGGCGAAAGCCUGAUCCAGCCAUGCCGCGUGUGUGAAGAAGGUCUUCGGAUUGUAAAGCACUUUAAGUUGGGAGGAAGGGUAGUAACCUAAUACGUUGCUACUUUGACGUUACCGACAGAAUAAGCACCGGCUAACUUCGUGCCAGCAGCCGCGGUAAUACGAAGGGUGCAAGCGUUAAUCGGAAUUACUGGGCGUAAAGCGCGCGUAGGUGGGUCAGUAAGUUGGAAGUGAAAUCCCCGGGCUCAACCUGGGAACUGCUUUCAAAACUGCUGAGCUAGAGUACGGUAGAGGGUGGUGGAAUUUCCUGUGUAGCGGUGAAAUGCGUAGAUAUAGGAAGGAACACCAGUGGCGAAGGCGACCACCUGGACUGAUACUGACACUGAGGUGCGAAAGCGUGGGGAGCAAACAGGAUUAGAUACCCCGGUAGUCC
rnacentral:rRNA from 1 species